UGGCUGUGAUCGUCCUAUCAACUAUA
rnacentral:piRNA from 1 species